UACGGAGGGUGCAAGCGUUAUCCGGAUUCACUGGGUUUAAAGGGUGCGUAGGUGGCCUGUUAAGUCAGGGGUGAAAGACGGUAGCUCAACUAUCGCAGUGCCCUUGAUACUGAUGGGCUUGAAUGAACUAGAGGUAGGCGGAAUGUGACAAGUAGCGGUGAAAUGCAUAGAUAUGUCACAGAACACCAAUUGCGAAGGCAGCUUACUAUGGUUUUAUUGACACUGAGGCACGAAAGCGUGGGGAUCAAACAGG
rnacentral:rRNA from 1 species